AUGAUCGGUGGAUGUAGAGCCUGAAUCGGAAAUCGUGUUGGGAUCCGAGUCCGAUAGGGAAGGAUCAUGGGAGGGAGGUACGUCAGGUUAGGAGGUGUUGGUGAGGGAAGGGCAGGUGCGAGUCGAAGAGGGAGUGAGGAGUCGUGGUCGUCAACAAUAUUUUAUCGCCGUUGUGGAAACCUUCAAAUUCGGAAAAAUGGUUUGUCUUCUUCCCAUUUUCUGGAAAUAUGGUUUAUGGGUUUUCAAUGUUAUUGCAUGUUCCAUUCAAAUUAUGAUUUGGGUGUCUCGGAUUUUAAAUUUUAAAUCUUGGCAUGGCUUCUGACUCCAUAUUGUUAGUUGCUUGUGGGUUAUGUCCCAGACUCCAAAUUUUACGAAGUUGAAGCGAUUCUGAGGUGCAGAAACGAUUCACUCAUCUGUUUGGUUCUUAAUUUUGUUUACGUUGAUUGUUUAUAGCUCUGUUGCAUGUCUGCUGUGCUUUUUUCUUCUAUUACUGUUGUGUGUGGAAUAUAUGAGGUUAUGGGUUUUACUUUCAUCUAAUUAUUUCUUAAUCUUUGCUAUGAUUAUGGGACGAGCUAGGCCCUGGCGAGUUUUGCAUGUUUCUUUGGUAAGAACGGUUGAACCUUAAACACAGCAUACUGCAUAUUAAUUAGCAUUGCAUUUUGCAUUGGCAUAAUAAAAUUAGGAAAGCAACAAAUUGAUGUUUCAAAUUUUGUUGAUUGGAUAGUAGGAAGAAUAGCUCUCUGUUUCUAAGCAUGUGUAGUUAUCUAAGCACCAUCCCAUCUUCUUCUGCAGUUGCCUUUAAUCCUUUUUAAACACUCAAAUCUAUUUGCAUAUAUCGAACACAUAGUCACGACUGAUUUGGAUUGGAGUUCAAACACGAUAAACAUUGAAGGUUAAUGAAAUUCUAAUCUAGAGUGCCAUUGAUGUCACUGGACCUAAAUUUUGAUUGCGGUGUGGCCUGUUGCGACAUGUCAAAAGAACAAUUAGUAGUUGUUAGUCGUACCACUAUACAAUUCAUUUCUGGAAUUUAAUGAAAAUUGUUUGUGAUUAUUGCUUGGAAUUAUAGAUAAGAUUUUGAAAAGUUAAUUCCUUUUAUUGCUUCUUCUUGUUCGUCAUUGCGGUUGCUCAUAAAGGAUAUAAGGUGAUGGGUACAAUGUUAGUAAUAAAGGGUUAGUUUGUUGACAGACUGCUUGAACUAUUGAAUAAUGUUGCAACUCUCCCCCAUAUUCCUGAUGUUCUUUCCUCUUGUUUUUUCAUCAUGCCAUACUUCGUUUUUGGGUUCAUCUGUAAGUUUUUGCUGAAUCUUUGAACCAGUUUUGGCAGUUGGUUGUUGAUCCUGCCACCAAAGAACUAUUGCAUUAUACUGAGAAUCCAGUGACUUUUGUAUGUACACGAUGCAAUUACUGUCCCAAAAUUGUUCAUUUAGUUGGUGCUUCAUGAUCAAUUGCGGUCUAUAUGUAUUUGUUCCCACAUAUUUUACUGCCAUUCAAGAAGUCUCCAGUCAUCAAGAAGGCAGAGGUUGGUCUUUUUCUUCACUGGCAUUAUAGUUGUGGAUUGGUUUGCACUUGGGAUCAAAUUCUGGCUCUAAAAAUAUUAUAUCACUUGAUUUGUAAUUAUUGAGAACAUAUUUGAUCUCAUGGCCAAAUGAAUUUUGUAGAUUAUGGAUGCAAUUAUUUCUCAUGGUUGCUUCUUGCAAGAAUGUAGCGUUCAACACUCCAUUGUGGGUGCGCACUCACGUCUAGAGUCUGGGGUCGAACUUAAGGAAGGUGAUUGCAUAAUCCAUUGAGCUGGGAAGAAGGGUAAAAUCAGUUGCGGGUGGCAAUUAUGUAGGAAUGCAUGGAUACAUUGAUAGGAAAAUCUCAUUAUUUUGUUGGUCUUUUAUCUUUAACACUUGUAAACAUGUUCUUUAUGAGGAAUAUUUCUGUAGUUUCAUUAUAGACAUUCCAUUUCUACUAUUGGAUUGCUUGCCAUCUUUGAUUUUAUGAAAAUUUUAAAUUUUUGGUUUUA